GGCCUUGUAGCUAAGGUAGAUAGAAUUUUGGCUGUACUAAAUCCUUACCCUUACUGUUGUGGGUUCAAAUCCCACCGAGGCCG
rnacentral:tRNA from 1 species